CCCAGUGUUCAGACUACCUGUUCAGGACUACGAGAUUGUACAGUAGUCUGCACAUUGGUUA
rnacentral:pre_miRNA from 6 species